rnacentral:rRNA from 1 species
GAAGGUGGGGAUGACGUCAAGUCAUCAUGGCCCUUACGACCAGGGCUACACACGUGCUACAAUGGCGCAUACAAAGAGAAGCGACCUCGCGAGAGCAAGCGGACCUCAUAAAGUGCGUCGUAGUCCGGAUUGGAGUCUGCAACUCGACUCCAUGAAGUCGGAAUCGCUAGUAAUCGUGGAUCAGAAUGCCACGGUGAAUACGUUCCCGGGCCUUGUACACACCGCCCGUCACACCAUGGGAGUGGGUUGCAAAAGAAGUAGGUAGCUUAACCUUCGGGAGGGCGCUUACCACUUUGUGAUUCAUGACUGGGGUGAAGUCGUAACAAGGUAACCGUAGG